GACUGGCUGAAGCAGAACAAUUUUGGAGGGGCCAUGGUUUGGACCAUCGACCUGGAUGACUUCACUGGCAAUUUCUGCCACGAAGGCAAAUACCUCCUGAUCUCCACCCUUAAGAAGGGCCUUGGUCUGUGAGCAGCGCCUGCAAGACCUGUGAACAGCCCAGUCCUCAAGUCCCUGUAGCUCCUAAACAUGGAAGUAACAGUUCAGGGGACUGGCCAUGAAGAUCCCAAUCCUGUCCCAGCCAACAGACCCCUCUGAUCUAAUUGCACAGCAUAAGAAUGAUUAAAUAAAGCUUUCUGCAAAAGAAACAA